UAGCUCAGUCAGUUGAGCAUAGCGCUAACAACGCCAAGGUCACGGAUUCGAUUCCCGU
rnacentral:tRNA from 1 species